rnacentral:misc_RNA from 1 species
UCCGAGUUGACCCCGGCAGUCUCCUACGAGUCCCCGGCAUUACCCGCUGGCAACAUAGGACAAGGGUUGCGCUCGUUGCGGGACUUAACCCAACAUCUCACGACACGAGCUGACGACAGCCAUGCAGCACCUGUGUUCCCGUUCCCUUUCGGGCACAGCCCCGUUUCCGGGGCCUCCAGGACAUGUCAAGGAUAGGUAAGGUUUUUCGCGUUGCAUCGAAUUAAUCCACAUAAUCCACCGCUUGUGCGGGUCCCCGUCAAUUCCUUUGAGUUUUAAUCUUGCGACCGUACUCCCCAGGCGGGAUGCUUAAUGCGUUAGCUGCACCACUGAAGGGUAAACCCACCAACGGCUAGCAUCCAUAGUUUACGGCGUGGACUAC